AAUGAACGCUGGCGGCAUGCCUUACACAUGCAAGUCGAACGGCAGCAUGACCUAGCUUGCUAGGUUGAUGGCGAGUGGCGAACGGGUGAGUAAUGCAUCGGAACGUGCCUUUUAGUGGGGGAUAACGUAGCGAAAGUUACGCUAAUACCGCAUAUUCUCUGAGGAGGAAAGCAGGGGACCUUCUGGCCUUGCGCUAGAAGAGCGGCCGAUGUCGGAUUAGCUAGUUGGUGAGGUAAAGGCUCACCAAGGCAACGAUCCGUAGCGGGUCUGAGAGGAUGAUACGCCACACUGGGACUGAGACAAGGCCCAGACUCCUACGGGAGGCAGCAGUGGGGAAUUUUGGACAAUGGGCGCAAGCCUGAUCCAGCCAUGCCGCGUGAGUGAAGAAGGCCUUCGGGUUGUAAAGCUCUUUCGGCUGGGAAGAAAUCGCACCCUCUAAUACAGGGUGUGGAUGACGGUACCAGCAGAAGAAGCACCGGCUAACUACGUG
rnacentral:rRNA from 1 species